GUCGUACGCGAAAGUGCCUUCGGGUACAAGUAGAGUGGCGCACGGGUGCGUAACACGUAGCUAACGUACCCCUUCGCUGGGGACAACUCCGGGAAACCGGAGCUAAUACCGAAUGAGCUAAAAUUUUCUGCGGAAGAUUUUGGCAAAGCCGUAAGGCGCGAAGGGAUCGGGCUGCGGCCCAUUAGUUUGUUGGUGGGGUAAUGGCCUACCAAGACUACGAUGGGUAGCUGGUCUGAGAGGAUGAUCAGCCACACUGGAACUGAAACACGGUCCAGACUCCCACGGGAGGCAGCAGUUGGGAAUAUUGGACAAUGGGGGAAACCCUGAUCCAGCAAUCCCGCGUGAAGGACGAAGGCCUUCGGGUCGUAAACUUCUUUCAGUAGGGAAGAACACAAUGACGGUACCUACAGAAGAAGCACCGGCUAACUACGUGCCAGCAGCCGCGGUAAUACGUAGGGUGCAAGCGUUGUUCGGAAUCAUUGGGCGUAAAGCGCGUGUAGGUGGUUUAGUAAGUCUGAUGUGAAAGCCCGGAGCUUAACUCCGGAAAUGCAUUGGAUACUGCUGAACUAGAGGACACAAGGGGGAAGUGGAAUUCCUGGUGUAGGGGUGAAAUCCGUAGAUAUCAGGAGGAACAUCGGUAGCGAAGGCGACUUCCUGGUCUGUAACUGACACUGAGACGCGAAAGCGUGUGUAGCAAACAGGAUUAGAUACCCUGGUAGUCCACGCCCUAACG
rnacentral:rRNA from 1 species